UGUCUUUUUGAAAUUAAUUUAAAGUCUAAUCUGCCCACUGAUUUAAUAUUAAAGGGCUGCAGUAUAUUGACUGUACAAAGGUAGCAUAAUCAUUAGUCACUUAAUUGGUGACUUGUAUGAAAGAUUGGAUGAAAUAUAAGCUGUCUCUUAAAUAAAAAUAGAAUUUAAUUUUUUAAUUAAAAAGUUAAAAUAAUUUAAAAAGACGAGAAGACCCUGUAGAGUUUUAUAAAUAAAUUGAUUAAGAUUAUUAAAUAAAAUUAAAAUUAAUUUAUUUAUUAUAUUGGGGUGAUAGAAAAAUAUAUUUAACUUUUUUUAUAUUAAAAACAUUUAUAAGUGAUUAAAUGAUCCAAUAUUAUUGAUUAUAAGAAAAAAUUACCUUAGGGAUAACAGCGUAAUUUUUUUUUUUAGUUCACAUAAGAAAAAGAGUUUGCGACCUCGAUGUUGGAUUAAGAUAAAAUUUAAAUGCAGAAG
rnacentral:rRNA from 1 species